AAGCUGUUAUGCAGGCAAUCUUUUACCAACCCCUUAAACCUCGCCCAAGCAUCGUUGAGUGAUUCGUCAAUAUCUUGUUUGAAAUUGGUGAUCAACUUCCUCCUUCU